CGGGGGAGGCCGGAUCCUGGGCUGUGUCCCGGCGCCCAGUGCUCCCGUUCUGUGCUGUUGGAUUCGCUCCCGCCCCGCAGCCCCCU
rnacentral:pre_miRNA from 1 species